rnacentral:rRNA from 1 species
AUUGAACGCUGGCGGCAUGCCUUACACAUGCAAGUCGAACGGUAACGGGCCUUCGGGUGCCGACGAGUGGCGAACGGGUGAGUAAUGUAUCGGAACGUACCUUUCAGUGGGGGGAUAACGUAGCGAAAGUUACGCUAAUACCGCAUAUUCUGUGAGCAGGAAAGCAGGGGAUCGCAAGACCUUGCGCUGAUUGAGCGGCCGAUAUCAGAUUAGCUAGUUGGUGAGGUAAAGGCUCACCAAGGCGACGAUCUGUAGCGGGUCUGAGAGGAUGAUCCGCCACACUGGAACUGAGACACGGUCCAGACUCCUACGGGAGGCAGCAGUGGGGAAUUUUGGACAAUGGGCGAAAGCCUGAUCCAGCAACGCCGCGUGCGCGAUGAAGGCCUUCGGGUUGUAAGCGCUUUUAGUAGGAGAUGAGAAAGGACAGAUCCUCUGAAUAAGCCUCGGCGAACUACGUGCCAGCAGCCGCGGUAAACGUAG